UUUAUGGAGAGUUUGAUCCUGGCUCAGGAUGAACGCUGGCGGCGUGCCUAAUACAUGCAAGUCGAGCGAACAGACAAGGAGCUUGCUCCUUUGACGUUAGCGGCGGACGGGUGAGUAACACGUGGGUAACCUACCUAUAAGACUGGGAUAACUUCGGGAAACCGGAGCUAAUACCGGAUAAUAUUUCGAACCGCAUGGUUCGAUAGUGAAAGAUGGUUUUGCUAUCACUUAUAGAUGGACCCGCGCCGUAUUAGCUAGUUGGUAAGGUAACGGCUUACCAAGGCGACGAUACGUAGCCGACCUGAGAGGGUGAUCGGCCACACUGGAACUGAGACACGGUCCAG
rnacentral:rRNA from 1 species